UUUGUCUUUAUGGCAAAUGUGAGAUGCAGUGUAUGGAAUGUCAAAUUUCUAGUAUGAGAAAUUAACGAUUUAAGUCCUUCUUAAAUGAGGCCAUUUACCCAUAGAGGGUGCCAGGCCCGUAUAACGUUAAUGAUUAUUAGAUGGCAUUUCCAAAGAGUCGUGUUGCUUGAUAGUGCAGCACUAAGUGGGUGGUAAACUCCAUCUAAAACUAAAUAUAACCAUGAGACCGAUAGUAAACAAGUACCGUGAGGGAAAGUUGAAAAGAACUCUGAAUAGAGAGUUAAAUAGUACGUGAAACUGCUUAGAGGUUAAGCCCGAUGAACCUGAAUAUCCAUUAUAGAAAAUUCAUCAUUAUGUUUGUGGUAUACUAUUAAAAUGGUGUGCAUUUUUUCUAUAUGGACAUUGUAAUCUAUUAAUAUCAAAUAAAUUUAUCAAAAGAUCAGCGUAAGUUUAUUCAAAUUAUUUUGCUUGCAAUUUAACAUAGAAUAAAUGCUUUUGAUCUGAUAAAGUAUUGAUAGAUUUAAUAUAUAGUGCUUAAAUAAUAUUUUAUAAUAGCAUAUUAAUUAUUAAUUUAUAUGUUUAUUAUAUGCGCUUAUAUGAUUAACAAUGCGAAAGAUUCAGGAUACCUUCGGGACCCGUCUUGAAACACGGACCAAGGAGUCUAACAUAUUUGCAAGUUAUUGGAAAAAACCUAAUAGCGAAAUUAACAUAACAUAAUGGGAUUAGUUUUUAAACUAUUAAUUCAAUCCCGGGGCGUUCUAUACAGUUAUGUAUAAUAAUAUUUAUAUUAUUUAUACCUCUAACUAGAGCGUACCUUGAGCAUAUAUGCUAUGACCCGAAAGAUGGUGAACUAUACUUGAUCAGGUUGAAGUCAGGGGAAACCCUGAUGGAAGACCGAAACAGUUCUGACGUGCAAAUCGAUUGUCAGAAUUGAGUAUAGGGGCGAAAGACCAAUCGAACCAUCUAGUAGCUGGUUCCCUCCGAAGUUUCCCUCAGGAUAGCUGGUGCAUUUAAAAUUUAUGUAAAAUAUUCCUAUCUGGUAAAGCGAAUGAUUAGAGGCCUUAGGGUCGAAACGAUCUUAACCUAUUCUCAAACUUUAAAUGAAGGUAGUGGUUGUGAUAUAAUGUGCCCAGUGGGCCACUUUUGGUAAGCAGAACUGGCGCUGUGGGAAUGGGUAAGAACCUCACCUUUCUUGGUAUGAAGGUUGUGGUUGUGAUAUAAUGUGCCCAGUGGGCCACUUUUGGUAAGCAGAACUGGCGCUGUGGGAUGAACCAAACGUAAUGUUACGGUGCCCAAAUUAA
rnacentral:rRNA from 1 species